rnacentral:lncRNA from 1 species
UAGAAAUGAAUGGAAUACAUGAGAACGAAGAGAUUUUGAGCCGCCUAAUAGAAAACUUGAAUGAGGCACCGGAAUAAUGAGAUACGAACGAAGAGACACAAAUUGAGAAGAAUUUUAGAAUGAAAGCUGAAAGAUGAGAACGAAUAAAUUUUCUGGAAUGAUGGCCUUCGGAGGAUCGAGAAAUGAAAACACUCUGAAAUGCAUCGGAUAGAUAUACAAAGAAUUACUCAUGAUAGAAAACAAAUAGAGAGAAUAUCAUGAAGCUAAAAUCAUGAAGCUUCAAGAGAAUGGACCAAGAUU